AAAUGGGAGUAUGAACUAAAAAGGUUGAAGUCCAGUCUAAGAGGAGAUUGAAGAGGACAGCGCUAAAAAGGAAAGAUUUGCUUAGAGGAAAUAUGCUGUUGCCCAGCAGGAAGUCACAAGGAAUCCACACUGAGAUCAAACAGCUGGACAAGGAGCCAUGUUGUCUUUUUCCUUGCUUAGAUACUAAAAUAAACCCCUAGUAUUAUCGGCAAGAAACAUAGUCUGGAUGGAAAUGACUCUAAAAGCAGUAAAGUCGAGCCUCUAAAGCCAUUCAGACCCUGAAUACCAUCUUAUCAAAGAAUCCUCCACAGGAGUGUAUCUGAGUGGAGAAAUCUUAAAAUUUAUCAUCUUAAAGCCCCUCAACUUUUCUGAGUUGACACGGCAAAAGCAGAGCUCCUUGAAUGUCAGAAUUUACCAUCUUACUGCCAUUUCUGAAGGGACUGAGAUUCAACUGUGUACAUUAAUGGAUAAAAGCCCAGCAGCCUGCCUCAGGCUAAGCAGCAGGGGCAAGGUCCACAUUGGAGGGCUUCUGUGAAGAACACUGGAUGUUAAUGGAUUUGUUUCACAGCAUAAAUCCAUCAGGACUCUCAUUGUUUUGCCAUUUUCACCCUGAGGACGCAUUCGUGUGGCUUUAACAUCCACCUCAGUCCUUUGUGACAGUUUUUAAAACAACAACAAAACCCUGUGGGCACAAUUCACCCAGGAUUCAUCAGUACUGUACAAAAUUCAUUGAAAUGAAUGGGAGCUGUAGCACAAGAUGGUAGCACAGUAGGAAGCUUGUACAAGAAAAAGUCCCAGGGGAUUGUGGCCCAUGUUAAAAGCCUUUAUCAUGCUUGUCUUCACAAUGUAAUGGUAAUAUAGGCCACUAUUAUACAGUGAUUUGUUCAAGGGUGCUCUAUACAGCCAUUUCGGAUUAUAGGUUUGAUCUUGUCUAUACCAUCUGCCUUCUCUCCCCUCAACCGUCAAGCUCUUGUCUAAGCUACAAAAGAUACUGGCACUGCUGUAUAUUGUAGCUGAUGCACAGUAGACUUGGUAAAACAGUUCUUCAAAUGGAACAGAUAGUAAUAAGCCAACAAAUCAGUGAGGCAUUUUGCUGAAGAACAUCUUCACCCACGUGUCUCUUUCAUACUAAUAGUAUUAUACAGGAUUUAAAUGUUGCCUUCAGUGGGGGAGCAUUGCUGUGUUUUAGAUCACAUGAGACAUCUGCCUAAAUCAGCACUGCCUGCUUUGACUUGCAGUGUCUCUCCUGGGUCUCAUUCAGAGAUCUCCCCUGUGUGAUAUAAGGCCAGAUGGACAAGUGCAGCCCCCAAGGAUUUUUCAGACUUCAAGACUCAUUUCUUACUAUUGGCAUUGCUGGCUAAAGCUGAUGGGAGAUGCAGGCUGAAACCAUUUGGAUGGCUGUAGUUGCUCUCCUUUCCUAUAAGAAGGAAGGGGAAAACCAAACUAUACAUGUUUCUGCCCCUUGAAAGCUACCAUUAAGGAUGUGGAGAGCUCUCCAAAAUAUUAUCAUUCUCAAUGAUAUUCUGAGCUUCACCAAAGUGAAAUAAAUACUUUACCCAUGCACCA
rnacentral:lncRNA from 1 species